rnacentral:rRNA from 1 species
UACGGAGGAUGCGAGCGUUAUCCGGAUUUAUUGGGUUUAAAGGGUGCGUAGGCGGUCCGUUAAGUCAGCGGUAAAAUUGCGGGGCUCAACCCCGUCGAGCCGUUGAAACUGGCAGACUUGAAUUGGCGAGAAGUACGCGGAAUGCGCGGUGUAGCGGUGAAAUGCAUAGAUAUCGCGCAGAACUCCGAUUGCGAAGGCAGCGUACCGGCGCCAGACUGACGCUGAGGCACGAAAGCGUGGGGAUCGAACAGG